rnacentral:rRNA from 1 species
CCUACGGGAGGCUGCAGUAGGGAAUAUUGGGCAAUGGGCGCAAGCCUGACCCAGCCAUGCCGCGUGCCGGAAGAAGGCCCUCUGGGUUGUAAACGGCUUUUGACGGGGAAGAAACGACUCUUGCGAGAGGCAUUGACGGUACCCGCAGAAUAAGCACCGGCUAACUCCGUGCCAGCAGCCGCGGUAAUACGGAGGGUGCGAGCGUUGUCCGGAUUUAUUGGGUUUAAAGGGUGCGUAGGCGGUCUGGUAAGUCGGCGAUGAAAGCCCGGGGCUCA